rnacentral:rRNA from 1 species
CGGAGGGUGCAAGCGUUAUCCGGAUUCACUGGGUUUAAAGGGUGCGUAGGAGGGCAGGUAAGUCAGUGGUGAAAUCUCCGAGCUUAACUUGGAAACUGCCGUUGAUACUAUCUGUCUUGAAUACCGUGGAGAUGAGCGGAAUAUGUCAUGUAGCGGUGAAAUGCUUAGAUAUGACAUAGAACACCAAUUGCGAAGGCAGCUCGUUACACGAAUAUUGACUCUGAGGCACGAAAGCGUGGGGAUCAAACAGGAUUAGAUACCCUGGUAGUCCACGCCCUAAACUAUGGAUACUCGACAUACGCGAUACACAGUGUGUGUCUGAGCGAAAGCAUUAAGUAUCCCACCUGGGAAGUACGACCGCAAGGUUG